GGCUGGCUUUGAACCAUGAUCCUCAGAUCUCGACCUCCUGAGUAGCUAAUAUUACACGCAUGAGCCAACAGUGCCCCAAAAGGGUAGAAGCAAACCAUGGUUCCACUCAGUGGCUCAAGCUUGUAGUCCUAGCUACUCAGGAGGGUGAGAUCUGAAAGUCUAGAUUCUUAGCCAGCCUCAGGGCAGAAACACCUGAGAGAUCCUCAGCUCUAAUACCACCAAAAAGCUAGAAGUAAGAAGUAUGGCUCAGAUGGUAGAGUGCCAACCUUGAGCAAAAAAAAAGGGGGGGGGGGCAAGCAAGAGUUCGAAGCCUUGAGUUCAAUCCCCAGCACCAGCACUCCACACACAAAACAGCCCAUCUGCUGCUGAGGCGCAUUCCCAGUGACGGCAGGACCCAGAAUGCCAGCAUGUUUAGGGUGCAAAUACUUUUGAAACCAGUAUUGGGAAGGCCUCAGACCUGGGACUGCGUCUCUUCAUGGUUUCACCAGGCAGCGCCUCUGGCCCCUCUUUGUGCACAUCUUCUGCAUUCACCUUGGGAUGACCUUCACUGCAGUGGCUCGGACUCUGGACUUUCCCCCAUGGGGUCUCGCCAGGCCUCUGUUAGUCUGUGGUCUCUCAUCCACUGCCCUGCCGGAGGGGACGCGCACACGCCGGAGCUGUCUGCUCCCCGCCACAGGGAAGGAAGGCCUGACCAGCAAGCCUCUCAGUUCCUGGUGACUUGAUGGGUCCUGAGCAGGAGGAAGGAUGGCCAUGUUCUCUGUUCCCGGGUUUCUCAGCCAUGGGCCCCGCUCGCCUCCUGUUGAAACUAUUCAGGGAAAACAGCUGCGUCGCUACGUAGAACAUAGAACAUGUACAGACCUUUGUUCUCAGUUACCAAAAAAAAAAAAAAAAUGCAGUAGAACAACUGUUUAUUUAGCAUUUACGUUGUAUUAACUAUUCUAAGUCAUCUAGGGAUGAGAAGAUUAUAUGCAAAUACUAUGCCAC